UUCUGCAAAGCCAUGCUUAACAUGCUUUGCUAGGUCUAAGUGUCAUCCUUGACUCAGGAAUCUCCUUUAUAUAGUAUAAAUCUGAUUUCAGCCUGCUGCUAGGAUCACACAGCUCUUUGAAUAAGAAGAUCUGUGCAGUAUCUGGUGAGAGUGUAUGUUGAUUUAAAGCUUUCUCCUUUUGAGCAUGGAGAGGUUCUCCUGGAGCAGAUAGAAUUAUUUCACAGCCUCUAUGGCUUCCUUCCCACAGCUUUUGAGAUGGCCCUUUGACUGCUGUUCUUCCCCAGACAGACCUUGUUCUGCAGCCUGAGACAGUCCUUAUUCCUUAUUCCAGCUCUUUCUCUUGAUCUUCCUGGGCUCUGUCUGCUCUUGGCAAGGAUAACAAACCUCUUCUGCCUGUCAGCUUUGGAAGAUGAUGGCCUUUCAUGACCACCCUGUGUCCUGCUGGUCCCUGGCUACCCAACACCCCCAGCCCCAUGUCUUGUCUGUAACCUGAUGCACUUGCCCACUGCUUAGCCCAUAAUGUAUCUAUAGCUGUAGACAAUUGCUCAGCACUUAAAUAUUAACAUGCUAAUUAAUAAUGAAAGCUGAGAUUGUAGUUAGGUUUAAAACUUUAAUUGGGUGAGGAGUAGUCCAUAACAAUGAAACUGUGUUAUUAAUAUCUAUAUAUCUAUGUGUUUAAAUAUCUUUCCCUCUAUCAAUAGCAUUGCACAAGAGAAGUAGCCUGAGUGUGGAUAUCUGCAAAGAUGUUUUCUUGAGGCACUUGGAACCUUGCAGCAGGAAGUCAUAAAGCACUAGGCCAGUCUGCAAGUGCAGCAUUUGUUCCAGUGUUAAAGCAGCCCAAGCUACUGCAGUCAACUAUGUUGGACACAAUUAUCUGAGAGGUCUUUUCCAGCCUAAACGAUUCUGUGAAAACGGACUAAAAAAGGAUGAAGAACAGCAAGUGGAGCAGAAGCAAUGGAGAAAACGUGCGAGGAGCCAAGUGCCUCUGACGGCGGCGCGCGUUGUUACAGGACCCGUUGCCACAGCAUCCUGCUCCCGCGGAUCCUGCGCGCAAACACAGCUAAGUAUUUUCCAUAUGCAUUUGAAAACCAUGUGUGACAAAUGUGUGUUCGCUUGCUUCCACCCCGAAGCCAGGGACGUUCCCCGCAGCCGUGCCGCGGCACCGGCGGCGGCCGGGCCGGGUUAACCCCACCGCCGCUGCCGCCGCCCCAUUGCCGGGCGCCCCCCCCCGCCGUUCCCAUUGGAGGCGCCCGGCCGCGUCUCCCCGGUCGGGGCAGCGCUGGCGGCUGAUUGGCGGGCGGGCGGCGCGCG